CGAAGACAGGCAACCCUUUUUUCUCCGCCUCCUUCAAAACCCGAUCACGACGAUUUCAUCGUACCGGCACCGUUAACCAUGAAUGUUCGGCGAUUCCAAUAUGUGAUGUGGAUGUUGGAUCUUGCUUGUCCGAACGCACCGAUCUUGCUUGUCCGAUUGCACCGAUCUUGCUUGUCCUAUCGCGAUCGGAUGGUGAUAUUGAAGGUAUUGAAGCAACGGCUUACGAGAACAUCAUCGCCGUUUUUAAUUACACCAGAAACAGAGAAAACAGAGGAUCCAGAUCCUCUAUUUCGGCAGCGAUUCGAUUUAUUUGGCAGCGUUCUUUCUGAUUAAAAAUCUCGGUAAUGAUGUUUUUCAAGGUUGUUUAUUCGCUCGCCCAGUUUUUGAUUGCCCAGUUUCUGAUUGCCGUUUCGGAUUUCGUCAUUGUAAUCAAUGGAAGUCCUGCCAAGAAAUCGAAGGCUCUAAUACCUAAAGUCGGGACCUGUUAGAACACGAUCUCAAUCAAACUCUACAUCGGUUUUUGCGUAGAAAUUGUGCAUGGAUCUGCAGUGAACCACUUCUCGCUUAAACAAAUUUGAUUCUCCUUUGGGAUUAUUUACAGGAUAUAAUCAAAAAAAUAUUUCAUCAAGGGGAUCAUUUAAAAUAGAUCUUAGGAAAUGUUCUUAUUGAUACUGGUUUCCCUUUAAUCAAUUAUAUAUUGAGUUUUAUGGUUCACAUGAUGGAUAUUUUAAAUUGAAAAAAGGGCCUAAAAAGAGUGACUCUUUAUCUUCUUAUUUGGUCGUGAUUAUGGACAUGUUAGAAGAUGACAUAUUCCCUUUUGCUAGAGCUGACAGAGAAUCGAUUGAACUUCUAUUAAGUUAUGUCAGCUUCAUUAAAUCAUCUGUAACCCAUAUGUGAGCUCAGCAUGCUCUCUUGAAUCCUCCAUAAUUAUUUCCACCAAACUUGUCAUCCUGAAUUUUAGGAUGCUUUAAAAUAAGCUUCAUGUUGUUUGAAGUUCUACUUUUGUUUUCGAUUGUGAAAUUUUCGAAACACUGGCUUCACUCUCUUGACCCAACCUCUAGUUCCUUCAAAAUUUUCCAGACACAAUUCUAGAAUUUAUUUUUCGAGAAAAAAUAUAGGAUUUUUUAAUGAUAAGCUUUUGUUCUUUGUAGUCACAUUAAUUUUUAUGCUUUCCAUUCUUGUUGGUUGUUAUUUGUCAGCUUUGUAUAUGGUCGGCGAAAUAUUCCAUCUUCAACUGCGUUCUCUUUGUUCUCUUCUUGCAUGAAGAUGAUGAUGCUCAUUUGGGUU